AGAGUUUGAUCCUGGCUCAGGACAAACGCUGGCGGCGUGCGUAACACAUGCAAGUCGGACGAGGGGGAGAGGCUUUUCGGAGCUUUUUUCUUGAGUGGCGGACGGGUGCGUAACACGUGGAUAACCUGCCCUGGUGUGGGGGAUACCCAGUAGAAAUACGGGCUAAUACCGCAUAUGGUGGUUUUUGGGGAGCCAAGAGC
rnacentral:rRNA from 1 species